CGAGAAAUAGUUUAAUAAAAAUUUUUUAUUUACAUUAAAAUGAUACUCAGGUUUUCUUGA
rnacentral:tRNA from 1 species